CAAAAACAUUGUUUUGCCUCGUGGUUUCAGAGUUUUCAGUCCAUAAUUGGCUGGCCCUGUUGCUUUGGCCCUGUGGCAUAGUGGAGGAGGCUGUUCAUCUCACUGUGGCCAGGAAGCAAAGAGAGAGGAAAGGGUGGCAGUCCCAAGUCCCCACUGAGGCACACCCCUGUGACCUAAAUUCCUUCCAUUAGCCCCCACCUCUUAAAGGUCCCACCACCUCCUGAUAGUGCCAGAGGCUGAGAAGGAGACCUUCAAUUCAGGGGACAUUCCAGAGCUAAACUGUAACAGCUCCUAAGUCUUUGGCUAGAGCACCCUGCUUGAGAGGACCAAGUUGAGAAAACCUGGGCAAUAAUUUGCCCCACUGGUCCUGCAGCCCUGCCUGCCUGGCUCCCUCUCCAACCCACUUUCUUGAGCUUGGAGUGCAGGCUCAGGAGCAUGAAGUGCAGCCCCUGGUACAGCAGAAAUUCAGGAACUUGUGGAAACUGCAGAAUGUCCAGGCCCUUCCCCAGGCCCCUGCCUCAGAGACGCCAGCAGGCCCAGGAGCGGAUGCUCUGGCACCCUCUGGGUGAUUCUCACAGCUGUGAAUCUGAGAACAGGGGCCAGCAAGCUGUGGCUCUGGGGAAAACUGGCCCUCCUGUUUUGUAAAGAAAGUUUCAUGGGAAUAGCUGUGCCCGCUCCUUUGUGUUCUGGGUGGGGAAGGCCAGGUGAUGGCCAGUGUAAAGAAUCUGUGGCCACGUGGGUGGAGAGUGGAGCGGGGCAGGGACACUCAACACACCCAGUGUAUGUCUGCACAGGCAGCCUUUGUCCCUAGGGUGUCAUCUCUGCCUCGAGGCUCAGGUCCCACUGGUCACCAGCAGUGGUCUGGUGGCCCUGCUCGACAGGGUCAGCCACAGAGACUCCAUGAGGCAUGAGCUGUCCACACACACACAACUCCCUUGUGGGAGUCCCUCGUGAGGCGCACACAGAGGUCCUCUGAGCUGUGGCUUCUUCAGGCAAGCUCUUCCUCCUGCUGUGCUGUCCAGCUUCUGUAGAGCCCCCGGGGCCAGGCACGUUCACGGCACCUGUGUAUGCCGAUUCCGUCACCCUGUAGCCACUGUCUGGCAGGUGAGGGAGCUGAGGCCCACAGAGGGCUCCACAAC
rnacentral:lncRNA from 1 species